rnacentral:rRNA from 1 species
CAGGCCUAACACAUGCAAGUCGAACGAUGGUCUUCGGAUCAUAGUGGCGCACGGGUGCGUAACGCGUGGGAAUCUGCCCUUGGGUACGGGAUAACAGCGGGAAACUGCUGCUAAUACCGUAUGAUGUCGCGAGACCAAAGAUUUAUCGCCUGAGGAUGAGCCCGCGUUGGAUUAGGUAGUUGGUGGGGUAAAGGCCUACCAAGCCGACGAUCCAUAGCUGGUCUGAGAGGAUGAUCAGCCACACUGGGACUGAGACACGGCCCAGACUCCUACGGGAGGCAGCAGUGGGGAAUAUUGGACAAUGGGCGAAAGCCUGAUCCAGCAAUGCCGCGUGAGUGAUGAAGGCCUUAGGGUUGUAAAGCUCUUUUACCCGGGAAGAUAAUGACUGUACCGGGAGAAUAAGCCCCGGCUAACUCCGUGCCAGCAGCCGCGGUAAU